rnacentral:rRNA from 1 species
UUAAGCGACUAAGCGUACACGGUGGAUGCCCUGGCAGUCAGAGGCGAUGAAGGACGUGCUAAUCUGCGAAAAGCGUCGGUAAGGUGAUAUGAACCGUUAUAACCGGCGAUGUCCGAAUGGGGAAACCCAGUGUGAUUCGUCACACUAUCGUUAACUGAAUACAUAGGUUAACGAGGCGAACCGGGGGAACUGAAACAUCUAAGUACCCCGAGGAAAAGAAAUCAACCGAGAUUCCCCCAGUAGCGGCGAGCGAACGGGGAGCAGCCCAGAGUCUGAAUCAGCUUGUGUGUUAGUGGAACGGUCUGGAAAGUCCGACGGUACAGGGUGAUAGUCCCGUACACCAAAAUGCACAGGUUGUGAACUCGAAGAGUAGGGCGGGACACGUGGUAUCCUGUCUGAAUAUGGGGGGACCAUCCUCCAAGGCUAAAUACUCCUGACUGACCGAUAGUGAACCAGUACCGUGAGGGAAAGGCGAAAAGAACCCCGGCGAGGGGAGUGAAAAAGAACCUGAAACCGUGUACGUACAAGCAGUGGGAGCACCUUCGGGUGUGACUGCGUACCUUUUGUAUAAUGGGUCAGCGACUUAUAUUCUGUAGCAAGGUUAACCGUAUAGGGGAGCCGCAGGGAAACCGAGUCUUAACUGGGCGUUAAGUUGCAGGGUAUAGACCCGAAACCCGGUGAUCUAGCCAUGGGCAGGUUGAAGGUUGGGUAACACUAACUGGAGGACCGAACCGACUAAUGUUGAAAAAUUAGCGGAUGACUUGUGGCUGGGGGUGAAAGGCCAAUCAAACCGGGAGAUAGCUGGUUCUCCCCGAAAGCUAUUUAGGUAGCGCCUCGUGAACUCAUCUUCGGGGGUAGAGCACUGUUUCGGCUAGGGGGUCAUCCCGACUUACCAACCCGAUGCAAACUACGAAUACCGAAGAAUGUUAUCACGGGAGACACACGGCGGGUGCUAACGUCCGUCGUGAAGAGGGAAACAACCCAGACCGCCAGCUAAGGUCCCAAAGUCAUGGUUAAGUGGGAAACGAUGUGGGAAGGCACAGACAGCCAGGAUGUUGGCUUAGAAGCAGCCAUCAUUUAAAGAAAGCGUAAUAGCUCACUGGUCGAGUCGGCCUGCGCGGAAGAUGUAACGGGGCUAAACCAUGCACCGAAGCUGCGGCAGCGACACUAUGUGUUGUUGGGUAGGGGAGCGUUCUGUAAGCCUGCGAAGGUGUGCUGUGAGGCAUGCUGGAGGUAUCAGAAGUGCGAAUGCUGACAUAAGUAACGAUAAAGCGGGUGAAAAGCCCGCUCGCCGGAAGACCAAGGGUUCCUGUCCAACGUUAAUCGGGGCAGGGUGAGUCGACCCCUAAGGCGAGGCCGAAAGGCGUAGUCGAUGGGAAACAGGUUAAUAUUCCUGUACUUGGUGUUACUGCGAAGGGGGGACGGAGAAGGCUAUGUUAGCCGGGCGACGGUUGUCCCGGUUUAAGCAUGUAGGCUGGUUGUCCAGGCAAAUCCGGAUAAUCAAGGCUGAGGUGUGAUGACGAGGCACUACGGUGCUGAAGUAACAAAUGCCCUGCUUCCAGGAAAAGCCUCUAAGCAUCAGGUAACAUUAAAUCGUACCCCAAACCGACACAGGUGGUCAGGUAGAGAAUACCAAGGCGCUUGAGAGAACUCGGGUGAAGGAACUAGGCAAAAUGGUGCCGUAACUUCGGGAGAAGGCACGCUGGUGUGUAGGUGAAGUCCCUGCGGAUGGAGCUGAGACCAGUCGAAGAUACCAGCUGGCUGCAACUGUUUAUUAAAAACACAGCACUGUGCAAACACGAAAGUGGACGUAUACGGUGUGACGCCUGCCCGGUGCCGGAAGGUUAAUUGAUGGGGUUAUCCGUAAGGAGAAGCUCUUGAUCGAAGCCCCGGUAAACGGCGGCCGUAACUAUAACGGUCCUAAGGUAGCGAAAUUCCUUGUCGGGUAAGUUCCGACCUGCACGAAUGGCGUAAUGAUGGCCAGGCUGUCUCCACCCGAGACUCAGUGAAAUUGAACUCGCUGUGAAGAUGCAGUGUACCCGCGGCAAGACGGAAAGACCCCGUGAACCUUUACUAUAGCUUGACACUGAACAUUGAGCCUUGAUGUGUAGGAUAGGUGGGAGGCUUUGAAGCGUGGACGCCAGUCUGCGUGGAGCCAACCUUGAAAUACCACCCUUUAAUGUUUGAUGUUCUAACGUUGGCCCCUGACCGGGGUUGCGGACAGUGUCUGGUGGGUAGUUUGACUGGGGCGGUCUCCUCCCAAAGCGUAACGGAGGAGCACGAAGGUUAGCUAAUCCUGGUCGGACAUCAGGAGGUUAGUGCAAUGGCAUAAGCUAGCUUGACUGCGAGCGUGACGGCGCGAGCAGGUGCGAAAGCAGGUCAUAGUGAUCCGGUGGUUCUGAAUGGAAGGGCCAUCGCUCAACGGAUAAAAGGUACUCCGGGGAUAACAGGCUGAUACCGCCCAAGAGUUCAUAUCGACGGCGGUGUUUGGCACCUCGAUGUCGGCUCAUCACAUCCUGGGGCUGAAGUAGGUCCCAAGGGUAUGGCUGUUCGCCAUUUAAAGUGGUACGCGAGCUGGGUUUAGAACGUCGUGAGACAGUUCGGUCCCUAUCUGCCGUGGGCGCUGGAGAAUUGAGGGGGGCUGCUCCUAGUACGAGAGGACCGGAGUGGACGCAUCACUGGUGUUCGGGUUGUCAUGCCAAUGGCACUGCCCGGUAGCUAAAUGCGGAAGAGAUAAGUGCUGAAAGCAUCUAAGCACGAAACUUGCCCCGAGAUGAGUUCUCCCUGAGACUUUAAGUCUCCUGAAGGAACGUUAAAGACGAUGACGUUGAUAGGCCGGGUGUGUAAGCGCAGCGAUGCGUUGAGCUAACCGGUACUAAUGAACCGUGAGGCUUAACCUU